rnacentral:rRNA from 1 species
CCUACGGGUGGCAGCAGUGAGGAAUAUUGGUCAAUGGACGAGAGUCUGAACCAGCCAAGUAGCGUGAAGGAUGACUGCCCUAUGGGUUGUAAACUUCUUUUAUAUGGGAAUAAAAUGUUCCACGUGUGGGAUUUUGUAUGUACCCUAUGAAUAAGGAUCGGCUAACUCCGUGCCAGCAGCCGCGGUAAUACGGAGGAUCCGAGCGUUAUCCGGAUUUAUUGGGUUGAAAGGGAGCGUAGGUGGAUUGUUAAGUCAGUUGUGAAAGUUUGCGGCUCAACCGUAAAAGUGCAGUUGUAACUGGCAGUCUUGAGUACAGUAGAGGUGGGCGGAAUUCGUGGUGUAGCGGUGAAAUGCGUAGAUAUCACGAAGAACUCCGAUUGCGAAGGCAGAUCGCUGGACAGUAACUGACGCUGAGGCGCGAAAGUGUGGGUAGCAAACAGGAUUAGAUACCCUUGUAGUC